rnacentral:lncRNA from 1 species
AUUUAAAGAAUUAUGUUAAAAUAGAGAACUAAUUGUACUAUUUUAUGUUAAAUAUGAGUCACUCUUUUCCCUUAAAUAGUGCAAAAGGAAAAACAUAAAAUUAGAUUUUUUUUGAUAAAAAUCACACUUAUAAUUUAAAUAAGUCCUAGUCUUCUAUCAAGUUAUUACAUAUUCCUUUUUUUUUCCCAUAUAUCUACAAGACCAAAAGCAAAAAGACCAUUUUACGCGUAAGAUUUUCUCUUUUAUUUUAUUUUGAGUUUGGACUAUUUAACACUACUUUGAAAAAAAAAUUAAAUUCUUUGGUUUUAUUAGUAUUUUUAUCUUAAUAAUUUUUUGGGACCUUUAGAUGAAUUUUAUAUGUUUUUCGCUUCUCUUCGCUAAAUGAAUCAUAAAAUAUAAAACUUUUGUGACCAGUUUUAAUACAAGUUCCACUAAAAUUUCUAAACAUACCUUUAAUUAGCAUUGAAAAAAAAAAAAAUUUUUUCUCUCUAGAAAAAUUAAGACUGAUAUUUUCAUAUUUUUUUCGACAAUAGAAAUAAACAAAAGUAUUUAAUUCAAUAAUAUCAAAAUUAAACCAAAAAUUUUAUUUUUUUAAUAAUUUAACUAGUCCAAAUUGAUAAUUAAUUAUUAAAAGAAUUUUAUAUAUCUCACUCAUGAAAUACAUCAAACGUGACUUGUAAUUCUUUUCCUUUAAUUUUGUUGUCUUUAUGUCUUAUAUCAAAAUAAUAAUAAUAAAUAAUAAUAAUGCACACAAGUUGGACUUAUUUUGUUCUGGUCGUCUGGUUUAGAGAAAUCUAAAAAGGAAAAAACAAAGAAACAAAAAUAAAUAAAUUAAAAGUUAACUCUAUAUUUAUAAAAACAAACACACACAAGACAAAAUUAGAGGGUAUUUGUUGUAAUUGAACCUAUAUUAAAAUUAUUUUUUCGAAAGCAGAAGUUAAAAAAUAUAAAAAUAAAACUUUUUCAAAAUAUAUUUUUUAAGUUUUGUUAGGCUCACAAUCAAAAGCAGAGUGUUUGACACUUGACACAAUUUUUAAGAUAAAAAAGGUAAUAAGUUGCACUAACACUCUCUUAAUCCAAAUAACUGAGUUGAUUGGAUUUUUUCUUUGAAUUAAUUUUCUCUCUAUACUUUUUUGUAAAUUAAUUUAAUUUUUUUAUAACUUUCAUUAUAGGAACGUGAAAAGUAAUAAACACAAUGACCAAUAAAUUGAAUAGUCAUUAAAAAUAAAAUAAUCCAACCACAGAAUUCUCCCAAACUUAGAGAACACAACUUGCAACUUGUAGGGUUUGUAUGUCGAAUCUUUGCUCAUAUAUAUGCACGAGUCGGUUUUUCAAAAUAUUUUAGUUGAAUUUCGAAUUUAAUCUGGUCCCAUUGGGAAGUAUCCAUAAACUCACUCUUAUCACUAGUCUUAAAUACUCCAUACCUCUAAUCUUCAUUUAAUUAAAACACGUAGUUGACAGAAAUUACUUUGGGGUCAAAUUGGAAUAUUUUUGAAAAAAAAAUUAGUGCUUGAUCGACAUUUUUGAAAGAUCCGGGUGCCCUAUGAAACAUUUUUUUGGCGUUUCGAGAGUUUGGAAGUGUUGUAAUAUUCGCCCAAGUGGUGCGCGUUUUUCCGGGAAUAUUUCCCAUUUCCGACGUAACCCAAAGAGAGAGGAGACCAUACGGUUGAUGAUUCUACUAAUUUCUAGACUGAAAAUCAAUUUCCUAUUGUGAUGCGAAAUAGUUUAUUGCUUGGCUCAAACCCGUCAAUGCUGUUCCGUUUUAUUUUUGCAAUUUGACUUUUCCGUGAUUUCUUUGAUCCAAUGCAGAGAGAAUGAGUGAUAUCCAAGUCUUCUCUCAAACCUCUAUGGAAGUGACAAGUUCAAUUACCCAACUUAUAUAUUGGUGAAAUACACUAACCACCCCUGAAGUUUUAGGUUAAUCAUACAAAGCACUUGACGUUUGAGAAAUAACAAUGACAUUCCAUGAUGUUUUGUGAAAAACUUGUAAAAGAUCCCAUCAUUUAUACUACCACCCUACAACCUUUAUGUUUUAAAAAAGUACUAUCUACCCUAUAGGAUGUUGCUUGAAUAACCACAAAGUGAAUCAAUAUUGAUCCAUUAACUAUUUAUUAUAUCAUUUUACAUUUUUAUUAUUAACUAUGAAGAGUGAUGAAAAUUGAUCACGUAUUGUUUAUGUGCUAAAUUAAAUGUUCUUAUGUCUAAAAUAUCAUUAUUUUUUAGUCAUUUAAUCAAUAUUCUUGUGAAAUAUAUAGUAAAUUUGUCAAAAAAAAUGGCAUAUAUAGUAUUCCAAUCUCUAUUCAACUGACGUUAUGGAUGGACAGUCAAUCUUGCUAACGGACGAUUGACGAUAGGAGUGCUUUAUAUAUCAUGGAUGGACAGUCAAUCUUGCUAACGGACGAUUGACGUCAGGAGUGCUUUAUAUAUUUACUAGGAAUUUUAGGAGUAAUUAGUGUAAAAUGAGGAAUCUGUUAUAAGUUUUAAACCUCAAGUGAAGUUACUAUCAUUUCUCAAACGUCAGAUACUUUGUGUAUUAAUCCGAAAACUCACGUAGUCAGUGUAUUUAACCCCUUCUAUAUAUGGAUUUUUUUUUUUUUUUUUUUCCCAUUUGUUUGAUUCAUUACUUGGGUAUUGCAAUCUUGCUUAUUUUUUUUUUCUUCAUAGAUUGUAGUUUUUUUUGCUGAUCUUCGUAAAUUUUUCUCGCCGAGCCGGGUCUGUUGGUUGUAACUGGCGCCUGCUUUGUCUGAAUCUCCCGGCUCCUUCUCCUAUCAUUGCCAAUUGGCUAAUCUCUCCCCCUCCUCUCUGGGUUUUGUCAUGGAAGCGUUAUUUGGUGAUUUUAUCUUCCACCUCUUUUCAUUUUCGAAAUUUUGGGGGUUUUUGUGGUCCUGGGUAUUUGGUAUAGGUGGUUUUCCUUGAGGAUUUUGCAUUGUUUCUAAAAAAUUAUUGUUUGGGAAAUCAGCUUUUUGUUGAAUUGAUUUAGAAUGUAAUUUGAGGAAAUGCUAGUUGAACAGAGAGAAAUGAAAACUGGCCGGAGGAGGAACUCCACUUUAGCCAGAUCUACUCAUUCGAUGUAGAAGAUCAGCUUUUGCAGGAUGAUCAUUCACAGAUUUGGGGACCUGGGUUUUCAAGGGUGGUUAUUGCACUGAUCCAUGGAGUUUUGAGGCUGCGAUUCAUAACAAUGUCGUAACUAUGUGAGGAGCACAAAGUACCCAGCAGCAAGUUUUCCUUUUCCCAAGUGCCUGUUUGAGCGAGGGUGGCCAAAUUUUUACUUCCUGUCGUCGGCACCUUGGCUUUACUCCGCUCGCUCUUAUUCUUCCGUCAGUUCUAUUAUCCCUCUUGUUGUCAUUGUUGCGGGGACUAUGGUGAAGGAAGGAAUGGAUGAUUGGCAAAGGAAAACGGCAGGGUAUCUUUCUCAUUUCUGUACCAUCCAAUAGUUAUAAUUAGUUCUUUAGAUGCGAGACAUUCUGGUGCCUAUUCAUACGAUGAUCAAUUCUAGCUCAAAUUGGUUACGUAGGACUAUUUUCUUGUCUUCUUAUGCAAUUGUUAACUUAUGAAUAGCUGUGAAAUUUAUUAAUAGAUGGUUGAACUAUGGCUCGAGCUGCAAUGCUUUUAUUUUUAGGCUCAUUCAUAACUAAUUUCGAGGAAGUGUCCUUGGAGAAACUAAAUUUGCACAUGUUCAUGAUUGGGGUAUUUGUCCUGCAAUAGAUUCAUUGUGCCAUAGACUAUAGAGUCCUCUUGAAUCAUACAAGUUGUAGAUAUCUGAAAGGCCGAUUAAAUUGAAGGCUUUUAUCACCUUAAAAGUUUCAACUUUCAGAUAUUGCACACGUAAUAUAAAUUUUUGCGGAAAGAGCUUCUAUUUUACUUUGUCAAUCACUAGUAAAUUCGAGGUAUUUAGAAUUGCGUAUUACGAGUUGGAUAUCUGGUCCAUGCGUCUUACUUGGUGCAAGAGUUUAUUUUUUUACCAUACUAUUCUAUUUUUCUAGACUAUCAUUUCUAGAUCUUCAAAUUAUCAAGUGGGAUAUAUGGCCCAUUGCUCUUGGUACCUUAAGAGUUUUUACCAAGUUCUAUUUUACAGACAAACAUGCUAAAAACUUGCAUUUUUACUGUCCUUUGCCGUGAUCACAUCGGCUCCUUAAUUUAUUCUCUGAAUUACUUUUUUUUCAGGAUAUUGAGGUGAAUAAAUAAAGGUUAAAGUACAUCGUUGUAAUGGAGAUUUUGGAGUAUACUGAAUGAAAAUCCUCCGAGUAGCAUAUAGUGAAGGUGAGAAGGAUGAAGUUCUUUCGCAGCACUCUUCUCUUACUUUCAUCAGUUUGAAUGAUGCAAUAUUUAUGUUGAAACCAUGAACCUUGAUGGGCGAACAAAUUUAAACUAAAACAAGCAUAGAGGUAACUUCAAUUUUACAUGCGGAUUCUAACUUUGGGAUUAAGGCCCGUUUGUUAAAUGCGAAGACCCAAUGCAAUUUGUUACUCCUUUGUUGGAACUAUGGAAUUUGAAGAGCAACAGCAUCCCCUUAGUCCUCACAACUUUCUUCCUUAGAGAUCGAAACUCGCAAUACUGACCACAUCUAUGGGGCUGUUAUUUUCACCUUGGUUUACGACACAAAGGUUGUACAAACUCUACUGAUCCCCCUUCGAAGAGGAAUCAGAUUGAGAGGAAAUGGAUAAAUUAUCCACACAGACUUCUUAUUUGGGGUCUUAUUUACCAUAUGCUUUUAUUGGGUCAAUUAUACUUUGGCAUUAAAACUAGUGAUGACCUGAAAGAUGGCACUAUUAAAAGUUGGUAUCUAAGACGGAUAAGUCUACGAUUUCUUCGAUCCCCAAAAGGGCGCCAGCUGCGGCAAUUUAUCACUUCUGACGGCAGGAUGUUUUAGCUACUUGAUCCCGCCUCCUUGUCUGUGUAGAUAGAAUUGUCAAAAUUUUUCGUCACCUUAUCAAUCAAGAUACUUCAUAUGUCUUAUGAAGAAGCUGACCAACCACGCACAUGCUCAUACCCUCACAUUU